rnacentral:rRNA from 1 species
CACGUAGGGGGCAAGCGUUGUCCGGAUUUAUUGGGCGUAAAGAGCUCGUAGGUGGUUCGGUAAGUCAGGUGUGAAACCUCCAGGCUCAACCUGGAGACGCCACUUGAUACUGCUGUGACUGGAGUCCGGUAGGGGAGCGUGGAAUUCCUGGUGUAGCGGUGAAAUGCGCAGAUAUCAGGAGGAACACCAGCGGCGAAGGCGGCGCUCUGGGCCGGUACUGACACUGAGGAGCGAAAGUGUGGGGAGCGAACAGG